rnacentral:rRNA from 1 species
AACGAACGCUGGCGGCAUGCCUAACACAUGCAAGUCGAACGAGACCUUCGGGUCUAGUGGCGCGCGGGUGCGUAACGCGUGGGAACCUGCCCUUAGGUUCGGAAUAACUCCCCGAAAGGGGUGCUAAUACCGGAUAAUGUCUUCGGACCAAAGAUUUAUCGCCUUUGGAUGGGCCCGCGUUGGAUUAGCUAGUUGGUAGGGUAUAAGCCUACCAAGGCGACGAUCCAUAGCUGGUCUGAGAGGAUGAUCAGCCACACUGGGACUGAGACACGGCCCAGACUCCUACGGGAGGCAGCAGUGGGGAAUAUUGGACAAUGGGCGAAAGCCUGAUCCAGCAAUGCCGCGUGAGUGAUGAAGGCCUUAGGGUUGUAAAGCUCUUUUACCCGGGAUAAUAAUGACAGUACCGGGAGAAUAAGCUCCGGCUAACUCCGUG